rnacentral:rRNA from 1 species
UACGUAGGGCCCAAGCGUUGUUCGGCUUUACUGGGCGUAAAGGGCGCGUAGGCGGCAAAUUAAGUCAGCUGUGAAAUCUCCGAGCUUAACUCGGAACUGUCAGCUGAUACUGAUGUGCUAGAGUGCGGAAGGGGCAAUCGGAAUUCUUGGUGUAGCGGUGAAAUGCGUAGAUAUCAAGAGGAACACCUGAGGUGAAGACGGGUUGCUGGGCCGACACUGACGCUGAGUGCGCGAAAGCCAGGGGAGCAAACGGG